rnacentral:rRNA from 1 species
AACGAACGCUGGCGGCAGGCCUAACACAUGCAAGUCGAACGCCCCGCAAGGGGAGUGGCAGAUGGGUGAGUAACACGUGGGAACCUACCUUGUGGUACGGAACAACCAAGGGAAACUUUGGCUAAUACCGUAUGAGCCCGAGAGGGGAAAGAUUUAUCGCCAUAAGAUGGGCCCGCGUCGGAUUAGCUAGUUGGUGAGGUAGUGGCUCACCAAGGCGACGAUCCGUAGCUGGUCUGAGAGGAUGACCAGCCACACUGGGACUGAGACACGGCCCAGACUCCUACGGGAGGCAGCAGUGGGGAAUAUUGGACAAUGGGCGCAAGCCUGAUCCAGCCAUGCCGCGUGUGUGAUGAAGGCCUUAGGGUUGUAAAGCACUUUCGCCGAUGAAGAUAAUGACGGUAGUCGGAGAAGAAGCCCCGGCUAACUUCGUGCCAGCCGCCGCGGUAAGAC